GCUGGCGGCAGGCCUAACACAUGCAAGUCGAACGGUAACAGGAAGAAGCUUGCUUCUUUGCUGACGAGCGGCGGACGGGUGAGUAAUGUCUGGGAAACUGCCUGAUGGAGGGGGAUAACUACUGGAAACGGUAGCUAAUACCGCAUAACGUCGCAAGACCAAAGAGGGGGACCUUCGGGCCUCUUGCCAUCGGAUGUGCCCAGAUGGGAUUAGCUUGUUGGUGGGGUAACGGCUCACCAAGGCGACGAUCCCUAGCUGGUCUGAGAGGAUGACCAGCCACACUGGAACUGAGACACGGUCCAGACUCCUACGGGAGGCAGCAGUGGGGAAUAUUGCACAAUGGGCGCAAGCCUGAUGCAGCCAUGCCGCGUGUAUGAAGAAGGCCUUCGGGUUGUAAAGUACUUUCAGCGGGGAGGAAGGGAGUAAAGUUAAUACCUUUGCUCAUUGACGUUACCCGCAGAAGAAGCACCGGCUAACUCCGUGCCAGCAGCCGCGGUAAUACGGAGGGUGCAAGCGUUAAUCGGAAUUACUGGGCGUAAAGCGCACGCAGGCGGUUUGUUAAGUCAGAUGUGAAAUCCCCGGGCUCAACCUGGGAACUGCAUCUGAUACUGGCAAGCUUGAGUCUCGUAGAGGGGGGUAGAAUUCCAGGUGUAGCGGUGAAAUGCGUAGAGAUCUGGAGGAAUACCGGUGGCGAAGGCGGCCCCCUGGACGAAGACUGACGCUCAGGUGCGAAAGCGUGGGGAGCAAACAGGAUUAGAUACCCUGGUAGUCCACGCCGUAAACGAUGUCGACUUGGAGGUUGUGCCCUUGAGGCGUGGCUUCCGGAGCUAACGCGUUAAGUCGACCGCCUGGGGAGUACGGCCGCAAGGUUAAAACUCAAAUGAAUUGACGGGGGCCCGCACAAGCGGUGGAGCAUGUGGUUUAAUUCGAUGCAACGCGAAGAACCUUACCUGGUCUUGACAUCCACGGAAGUUUUCAGAGAUGAGAAUGUGCCUUCGGGAACCGUGAGACAGGUGCUGCAUGGCUGUCGUCAGCUCGUGUUGUGAAAUGUUGGGUUAAGUCCCGCAACGAGCGCAACCCUUAUCCUUUGUUGCCAGCGGUCCGGCCGGGAACUCAAAGGAGACUGCCAGUGAUAAACUGGAGGAAGGUGGGGAUGACGUCAAGUCAUCAUGGCCCUUACGACCAGGGCUACACACGUGCUACAAUGGCGCAUACAAAGAGAAGCGACCUCGCGAGAGCAAGCGGACCUCAUAAAGUGCGUCGUAGUCCGGAUUGGAGUCUGCAACUCGACUCCAUGAAGUCGGAAUCGCUAGUAAUCGUGGAUCAGAAUGCCACGGUGAAUACGUUCCCGGGCCUUGUACACACCGCCCGUCACACCAUGGGAGUGGGUUGCAAAAGAAGUAGGUAGCUUAACCUUCGGGAGGGCGCUUACCACUUUGUGAUUCAUGACUGGGGUGAAGUC
rnacentral:rRNA from 1 species